rnacentral:rRNA from 1 species
GAAGGUUCGGUAACACGGACUGGAGGGCCGAACUCACCAAAGUUGAAAAUUGGGAGAUGAGCGUGUGGGUAGGGGUGAAAGGCUAAUCAAACUUGGAGAUAGCUGGUUCUCCUCGAAACAUAUUUAGGUAUGGCCUCGUGGCAGUUCACCGGAGGUAAAGCACUGAUUGGGCUAGGGGGCUCACCCCGCUUACCAACCCCAGUCAAACUCUGAAUACCGGCUGAAUGGUCCACGGGAGACAGACGAUGGGUGAUAACGUCCGCCGUCAAAAGGGUAACAACCCAGACCGCCUGCUAAGGUCCCUAAAUUCGACUAAGUGGUAAAGGAUGUGGGAACGCACAGACAACCAGUAGGUUGGCUUAGAAGCAGCCAUCCUUAAAAGAAAGCGUAAUAGCUCACUGGUCAAGCGAGCCUGCGCCGAAGAUGUAACGGGGC